rnacentral:snoRNA from 1 species
GAUGAAAAUGAAGACAAUUGGGAUACAAAGUUUAUAUUAUUUGAAAAUACCAUUUAUUUUCUAAUUCACC